GAUGAACGCUGGCGGCGUGCUUAACACAUGCAAGUCGAACGAAGCACUUUAUUUGAUUUCCUUCGGGACUGAUUAUUUUGUGACUGAGUGGCGGACGGGUGAGUACCGCGUGGGUAACCUGCCUUGUACAGGGGGAUAACAGUUGGAAACGGCUGCUAAUACCGCAUAAGCGCACAGCAUCGCAUGAUGCAGUGUGAAAAACUCCGGUGGUAUAAGAUGGACCCGCGUUGGAUUAGCUAGUUGGUGAGGUAACGGCCCACCAAGGCGACGAUCCAUAGCCGACCUGAUAGGGUGACCGGCCACAUUGGGACUGAGACACGGCCCAAACUCCUACGGGAGGCAGCAGUGGGGAAUAUUGCACAAUGGGCGAAAGCCUGAUGCAGCGACGCCGCGUGAGCGAAGAAGUAUUUCGGUAUGUAAAGCUCUAUCAGCAGGGAAGAUAAUGACGUUACCUGACUAAGAAGCACCGGCUAAAUACGUG
rnacentral:rRNA from 1 species